rnacentral:rRNA from 1 species
UACGUAGGGGGCGAGCGUUGUCCGGAUUUACUGGGCGUAAAGGGCGCGUAGGCGGCCUUGUCAGUCAGGCGUGAAAGCCCCGGGCUUAACCUGGGAAUGGCAUUUGGGACUGCAAGGCUUGAGUGCGGCAGAGGAGACUGGAAUUCCUGGUGUAGCGGUGGAAUGCGCAGAUAUCAGGAGGAACACCGGUGGCGAAGGCGGCUAUCUGGACCGACAUUGACGCUGAGGCGCGAAAGCGUGGGGAGCAAACAGG